AUUGAACGCUGGCGGCAGGCCUAACACAUGCAAGUCGAGCGAGCGGCGGACGGGUGAGUAAUGUAUGGGGACUGCCCGAUAGAGGGGGAUAACUACUGGAAACGGUGGCUAAUACCGCAUACUAUCGGAUAACCCAUAUGGGAUUAGCUAGUAGGUAAGGUAAUGGCUUACCUAGGCGACGAUCCCUAGCUGGUCUGAGAGGAUGAUCAGCCACACUGGGACUGAGACACGGCCCAGACUCCGACGGAGGCAUCAGUGGGGAAUAUUGCACAAUGGGCGAAAGCCUGAUGCAGCCAUGCCGCGUGUAUGAAGAAGGCCCUAGGGUUGUAAAGUACUUUCAGUGGGGAGGCGUUACCGACAGAAGAAGCACCGGCUAACUCCGUGCCAGCAGCCGCGGUAAUUC
rnacentral:rRNA from 1 species